GUGGGGAAUAUUGGACAAUGGGCGAAAGCCUGAUCCAGCCAUGCCGCGUGUGUGAAGAAGGUCUUCGGAUUGUAAAGCACUUUAAGUUGGGAGGAAGGGUAGUAACCUAAUACGUUGCUACUUUGACGUUACCGACAGAAUAAGCACCGGCUAACUUCGUGCCAGCAGCUGCGGUAAUACGAAGGGUGCAAGCGUUAAUCGGAAUUACUGGGCGUAAAGCGCGCGUAGGUGGUUCAGUAAGUUGGAAGUGAAAUCCCCGGGCUCAACCUGGGAACUGCUUUCAAAACUGCUGAGCUAGAGUACGGUAGAGGGUGGUGGAAUUUCCUGUGUAGCGGUGAAAUGCGUAGAUAUAGGAAGGAACACCAGUGGCGAAGGCGACCACCUGGACUGAUACUGACACUGAGGUGCGAAAGCGUGGGGAGCAAACAGGAUUAGAAACCCGGGUAGUCC
rnacentral:rRNA from 1 species